rnacentral:lncRNA from 1 species
CCCAACUCGCUAUCUUUAUAUGCACACAAAUCUCUAACCCAAAUUCAAACCCAAAAUUGUCUCUUGCCUCUCUCUUUCUCUUUCUCUUUCUCUUUCCUUUUUCUCUUCUGGGUCUCUUCUGUUUUCUGUUGUCUAAUUACAAAUUCAAUUCAAUUAAUUCAAACAGAUAAUGAAAAGCAAAACACGUUAAAAAAGAAGCCCUUUUUUCCCCCCAAAUCGGAAAACGGACGAAAACCCUAACUGAGGCUUCUAUCGUCAAAGCUUCUUUUUCUGUUCCAAUUUAACUCUUUUUGUUCAAUACUCGAAACCCAUUUGCUAGAAUUUGAAGAUAAUUGUUGAGAAAUUAGUUAAUUUUGCUUGCUAUGGAAGCGAUACCGCACCCUAUACCUAGAACUGUAGAGGAGGUUUUCAGCGAUUUUAAGGGCAGACGGGCUGGCUUGAUUAAGGCUUUAACAGCUGGUAAUGGCUUAAUAUUUUCUUCUCUUUUUAUUUGAACUAAAUUAAUGGGUUUGUUCUAUUUGAGCUUAUGAUUAUUUUUUUCUUGUUAAUUUUAAUUUUAAUUUUCUGGGUUGUUGCAGAUGUUGAGAAGUUCUACCAGCAGUGCGAUCCUGGUGGGUUUUUCUUUUCCAUACCUAUUUUUUGUUUAUUUAAUUGUAAUUGGACUUUUUUUUCCUUCUUUUUUUUUCUAUAUUUUUGUAUUAUAUUGACUGAAUGACUAGGUAUUUAAUAAUCAGUACGUGUUAUUUAUAGCUCUGUUUCAUGUAUAAGAGAGGCAAAUUAUGUUAUAGAAACCAACUCGUUUAUUCAUUUAUUUUUUUCAGUUGGAAGAAUUUUAAUGGAGACAAUGUCUGUGAUAUGAAUUAACUAAGUUCAUGCUUGUCUUGAGUGUUUUGAGAUUGUACAAAGUCCAUGAUUUGUCUUUAAUUAAAGAUGAAAUGCUUGUUUUAAGGUAGUUUUGCUUGUCAUAGCACUCGGAGGCUUACAUUUUUUUUUUUUGAUCACUUACACGGUUAGUUUCUGUUUUAUUCAUAAAUUUCUGUGCUUCCUCACUUGCGUCGUCAUUAACUCCUUCCAUGAUGUUUUCUUCUGUAAACGCACUUAUGUUUGCCUUUCACUAGUUUGAAGGACAUUUUUCAUUGAAAGAUCCAAAUGAAUUGAAAUUGCUGCUAUAAUGUAUUUGCUUUGCUGCUGAAGCAGGUCUGUGUAAAUAAACUAGAAAAGUCUUAAAGUGUUGUUGUACCCAUAUACUUCAGUCCAGCUGGCUUCCUAGCUGCAGAAAAUCUCAAGCUUUUUCAUUCUUGACUGUCAGGUUCUUGUGUUUAUUAUAUUGGUUGGAAGCAGAUGGUUAGUUCAGUGUGAAUUCUUGGCAUUUGGUUAUGUGGAAGUUCUGGACAUUUGUUGAUGAUUUAUUUGUUUGCAUGAUCGAUUUUCAAAAUAAUUCAUUUGGCUGCAUAAUUGUUGAAAAAUCCAAAAUUCUAGUGGUAUUUAUUUAUUUAUUUUUGGAUUGAUGCAGCUAUGUUUGUUGGAAGUGUGUUGUUAUCUUCUGUUGAGUCCUUGGCAUUAAUGUUUUAUGUAGUCAUCCAUAUUUUUUUCUUGAGUUAUGUGGUAUCUGUUAUCAUAUUAAUUUUGAUUGUCUUUUUCUCAAGUCAUUUUGUAUAAAUUUUAUUGUUUCUUUUAGUAGGCAUCGAUAUUUUCACUUUAGCCUUCCUACUUUCAUAUAUCUGCUGGAGUGGAAAGAUUGAAAGAUUAGUUUGGUUCACUUUUACAAUGAGCCACAUGUUAUUACAACACUGCAUCAUUUCAACCAAAUAGGGAAACUGCGACACAAGAAGAAUGCCCAUUGGAAAAUAGGGAUCGUGCAGCUGCCUGAUAGCAGAAAAUUCCUGAAUUCUUGGUGAUAGUGAUUAUUUAUGUUGGACUCCUGCUCUUAUGUCUGUGGAUCCGCCCAGUAUUUUCAGUUUGAUCCUUCAAUCUAAUUUCCUUAUGGUUGUAUGUUUAUUGACUUAUAUUCUGUCAUGGUAUUAUGGUUUGAUAUCCUUUUCUUAUCAGGCGAGUUGGCUAACAUGAAGUUCACUUUACUAUUUUCGUCAAUGUUUAUUGGAGUGCAAAGCUUCACCAUAUAGUGUGGUUUGUGACUGUUGUGUUGUCUAAUGUGUUGCCUUAUCUUCUUAUUGACUUGUUUGUAAAAAAUUAGAACUCUAAUUCUAAUUGUCAUUAUGUUUGGCUGCUAUACUCUAUGUCCAUGGUCAAAUGUCGUCCCUUUUUUGUUUGUUUUUAUGGUUUAUGUCCAAAUGUUGCUAGAGCAGUUGAUGUCAAUAAAAGAGUAUCUUCCUGGACUAACAGUCUCCUUCUGCAUUCUUAAUGUUUUAUGAAACCAAGUACUUUUUUGUGCUUUUAGUUAUUGGUAUGAUAAAAUGAGAUCUGAUUAUAUGAACAAUUCAAGGCAGAUUGCACAUUUUUAUUUAAAAUACUAGUAUUGUGCAUACAGAAAAAGAGAACUUGAGCCUAUUUGGGCUUCCUAAUGAGACAUGGGAAGUUAAUCUGCCUGUUGAGGAAGUGCCUCCCGAGCUCCCUGAGCCAGUGUUAGGUAUAAACUUUGCUAGAGAUGGAAUGCAGGAGAAGGACUGGUUAUCACUGGUUGCAGUGCACAGUGAUUCAUGGUUGCUUGCUGUAGCUUUUUAUUUUGGUGCACGCUUUGGAUUUGGCAAAAAUGAAAGGUAUUUUCUCUUUCAUGCCCAUUUACCUGCAUUUGCUGUAAUCUCCAGAGCCUUAGCAUUAGUAUCUGCUUUUUGGUAUCAAAUUGUUAGUUCUUAGUCCUGUCUCAUAGUUCUGCCACUGCUUUUCAACAUUACAAGAUGAUAAAGGGGAUAUGCAUAGAUAUAUCAUUAAAUUUUAUGGUUGAGAUUGUUUCAAUUGAAAGAUCAAGGCAGUAAGUCCAGGGGAGAGUAACAAUAUAUGUUUGAUUAUUUCACUUAUUUUUGUAAGAAUAUACGUUUGAUCAUUCCACAUAUUUAUCUUUUAUAAUGCUAAUUGGUGAUGAUUUGUCUUCUCUCAUAUUUGUAUUUAUAACUAUUUAUUGGUAACUUGAUCUACCAAUAUUAAGUUUAACAAGUCCAAUAAUGUUGUCUUGACAAUAAUUUAUGAUUGGUUAUUCUGUGGUCAACAAUUUAAGGUCAAGGCUUUUGUUUUAUACAUUCUGGACCAUUUUUUGCUGCUAGAGCUCGUCUGUCGUCUUGUAAAAUUCGGUUUGAACCACCUUGGUUACUAUGUUUCAUUCAUCUCAUUCAUGCUACAAAGUCAUAUGAUCAACUGUAUGACAUAUGAUGUUUGACAGCCUAUGCAUUCAAGUUGUCAUUAACGAAAGGAAGUUUAUGGUCUCCGACAAAGUCUUGACUCAUUCAGCCGGUUGACACUGCUCAAUGGAAUGUUAAUAAUCUAAUUGGGUAUCAUAGAUUUCUUGAACAAAAGACAUAGUAGGAGUAACUGAACAAUAUACUAUGGAACUAUUGUUGAAGUUAUACAUGAUAUGGAAAACCUGCGAUGCUAUGCUUGACCAGGAAGUUUAAUAAAGUCAAGAUGAAUGUCUGGUUCUAAUUUUUCUUGGAAUUGGAUCUUGCAGGAAGAAACUUUUCCAGAUGAUAAAUGAUCUCCCGACCAUCUUUGAAGUUGUAACAGGAAAUGCUAAGCAACCAAAGGACCCUUAUUUGUUGAAUCCAUUCUCCGGUUCCCGGAUUCUGCGGAACUUUUCCGGACGUUGUGGGUCGUCAUGGCGGUGGCUACAACGUAAUUUGAAGUUGAUCACGAAGAUAUAAAUGGCUGUAGCACCGACGCGUUUCACGACAAUCAAGGAAAUCAAAGAUUGUUUCUUCCAUAAGUCCAUUCUGUCGGGGAGUCCCUACUUUCAGGAUAAUGACAAUGUAGCUGUAGCCAUCUACAAUGAUAGAUCAAAGUGGUUCAAUAUUUCAAGGCCAAGAACAUUAUUGUUACUGGUAUGGCGAUGUUAUUUGAGUAUCUCAAAAUGGUGCUAGUACUGUUUAUGCAUUAUCACUAAGUCCCGGUACAGGAUGGUCCAUUCGAAGCAUGGGAUUUCAAGAAAUUACAGAAUGAUUAUAAUGCUCCUCCUGUAAAAAUAAUGGGUUUGAAUUUGAAGCCAUCAUUUCCAAACUCAUGGGAUGUAGAUACCAAGCCAUGUCAUGUGGCUGUAAACUCAUACUUGGUAGAAUCUAAGUCGUAGGAUAUUUUGUUUCUUUUUAUUUUGUUUAUAGCCUCAAAUUCCCUUAUUUGUUUACGAUGAAUCAAAUUUUUGAAAUAUAAAAUUUAGAUAAAAUAAUUAAAUAAAAAAUAAUUUAAUUUAUAUAAUAAAAAAUAAAAUUUAAUUAAAUCAUAUUUUCGUUUUUUUUUUCUAGGAAAAAAAGUGUACAAAUGUAUGUGAGCAUAUAUUAUUGAUAAGUAACACUAUCCAUCAAAAAAUUUAUCCAAAACUUUUCAUCCAAAGCAUUGUAAAAGACGGCAUUGGUGUAGAGUGUGUAAAAAAUCAACUUAAAACUUUGAGAAAAAUUUUUAUAUACAUCACAUCACAUAAUCUUCUCAUUUUUGCUACAAUUUUUGCAAUGAUUUUUGGAAUAAGUGCACUGUUCUUAUCACCCAAAUAUACAGUAAGAACACUUCAAUGUAUUAGUUUCAAUUUAAUUUAAGCUCAGUUAUUGAAUUGCUCAUUCAAUAAGAAUUCUUCAUGUUAUAUGCUUAAUUUGAAGACUCGAAUCUUCACUAUCUUUAUCACAAAAUUUUUUAGUCUCACAUGCAUACUACAUAAUUUCACUACCUAAGUAUCUUAAAAGUAAAUCGGAUUCAUGAUUUAAUUCAUGAUUUAAUAUCUAUAUAAUAUGAUGCAUGAUAAAUGAACUACUUUUUCAAAGUCCCAUAUAAAAAUUGUUAAUGGUGAUCUCAAUUUCUAAAUUAGCAAUCAUUGAAUUUUAAUUUUCUCUUACAUUUUCUUUUAAUGUAUUUUUAUUUUGUCAGUUGAUGGUAGGGAUGAGAAUGGGGAGGCGAGUGAUCGACAUCCUAGUAUCCAUCCACAAUGUUCUGCUUAAGUAUGUGUACUUCCUCAUAUCCCCGUUAUAAAAAUGUAAAUAUAUGAGGGGAGGGAAUAACAUUUCCGUCAAACUCAAUUAAUAUCAUUGAUAUUAUAGCAUAAUCCAUAAGUGAUUUGUCCACAACACACGAAUAUUAAAAUAAACGACUGCGAAUUAAAAUAUUUCGUCAAAUUAAGUUAAUAGUAUCAAUAUUACAACGUAAUUAAUAUGUGAUUCGUCCACUACAAAAAAAAAAGUGGUAUUUGUCUAUAUAACAGAAGCAAUGACAAAUUUUAUUCUUGUCUUUACAUUAUUUUUAUAAAUAUUACGAUUUUUUUUGUUUACAAACAUAUUAAUACAUUUUAAAUGUAUUUUAUUGAAGUUAUGGAAAAAUAUAAUAAAAGUUAAAAGGAUUUGGAUCCUCUCUUUUUAAUCUUAUUUUUUCUAAGAUUAAUUUUGUAGGAGAUUAUAAUAUUUGUCAAUUACGUAGAAAAUUUUCCAUUUUAAACGCCAAAUCACAUCGUUUAGUAACUAAUAACUAUAAUCCUAAAACUAAUGGGAGUUUAAUUUUAACGUUCGACUUCUUUUUUUCCCCCAUUUUCUUUACACGUUUUGUAGCCUCUUUCAUCUCUCACUGCUUCUUCAAAACCAGAAACUUAAUUUGGUAAUGAAGAAUUCCACCAAUUAAAAAAAAAAAGGCAGGUUAAUUUUAUUUUCUUUUUUUAAAAUUUGGAGCUCUCUCGUUUCUCAUCACAGUUCUCUUCUGUUGGAGAAUUUAUGAACCGUAGGAUUUCAACAAAUGAAAGAAAACAGAAAAAAUGGAGGAGAAAGUAAUCAAAGAUAACUAUAAUUGAAAUAAACAAGAGCAAACUUCUAUUUAUAUUGAACUUAUAUAUAUAUAUAUAUAUAUAUAACCAUAUUCCAAUGAGAAUUUUAUAUUUUGAAAAUUGAUUUAAUUUUGAUAUUUCUUUCAAAAUUGUUUAAUUGUGAUCAUUGUACUAAAAUCAAAUGCAAAAUAAGAAAAGAGUGGUUUAAAUAAUAAUGGCACGGGAGUGUCUGCAUGUGUGAAGAAGAAACAGGAGAUAAGAUGAUGGGUAAGGAAAAGAGAAGAGAUGACAUACUUUAGGGUUAACAUCUGAUAGUUGCUAAUUAUUCUAUUUUAGUUAUUCAUUAAAUCGAUAUGGCGUUUAAGAAGAAAAAAUUAAAAGUAAAUUAAAUCUUACCCCUAGGUACACUUAAAUGGCAAGUGUCAUAAUCUCCCAUGAACCUUGGGAAAAAUUAGAUUAGAAAUAAAAGUAAAAAACAAUCAAAAUGGAGAGGAGAUAAAGAUUUCACCUAUUCCCAUCAUUUCUUCGAAUGAAAAAAUAAAGGGUUAUUAUCAUUUUACUACUUCAAAAAUUAAAAAAUAUCAAAUAACCACAAGAAAUUUGUCCCCUAUCAUUUUUCUACUAUAUCUUUACAAAAAUAUUAUUUUACUACUUUUCCGUUAUAACCGUUAGUUGACCAGUUAGUUGACUAACAAAAUAUUAAUUUUACCCUUCAUGAUUAAAAAAAAUACUUGAAGCUUAUUUACAAAAUCAACUCUUCCACAUUUAUUCGAUCAUCCAAGUUUCAUUUCCAACAUUAGGAUAUAAAAAUAGAAUCAUUAAUAAGAAAAAUUUGUAAUCUAUUUAUAAAAAUGGAUACAAAAUACCAACAUAAUUCUUUUUACUAGAAUUAUAAUAUAUGGAUUAUAAAUUUAUCUUAUUAAUGAUUCCAUUUUUAUAUUAAUGUUGGAAAUAAAACUUGGAUGAUCAAAUUAAUGUGGAAGAGGUGAUUUUGUAAAAAAGCUUCAAGUUUAUUUUUUUUAAUAAUGAAGGGUAAAAUUAGUAUUUUGUUAGUCAACUAAUUGGUCAACUAAUGGAAAAGUAGUAAAAUGAUAUUUUGUAAACAUAUAGUAGGAAAAUGAUAGGGAAUAAUACUUCUUAUAAUCAUUUGAUAUUUUUUAAAUUUUUAAGUAGUGAAAUGAUAAUAGCCCAAAAAUAAAUAUUAAAUUAUCAUUAUCCCCUUAUUGAAUAAAAAAAAUUAGAUAUCAAAUUAUACCCAUCUACUCCCCAAAUGGCAAUAAUCCUCCAAAGACCCCAUCCCCUUACUAAUUUUUCACAUCCCUAAUUCGUGGUUUGCCACAUGAUAUAUGUAUCCUUGAUAAAAAUAAAUAAAUAGAUGACAUGCCAGUCAUGUCGUCCGGCUGUAUUAGGUAAGUUUGUUGGUGGCAAGCACAUGCACGAAUUAAAUGGUUAGCUCAAAACAGUAUACUCAAGUAUGUAAUUGAAACACAUAACAUGAUUUUCUUCAUAGACUUCAUUAUUUCAAAAUUUACCUUGCCAUAAUAUUUUGGGUUCCAUUAAUUUGAAUGACUGCGUGAUUAUAAAAAUAAAUAUUAUCUUUAUAUAUAUUAUUAUGAUUUAAUGAUUAACAUAUGUAUUCAACUAAAAGUGUUGGUCCAAAUUUAACUACGGCCUAAUAUUUUAUAUAUCCUACAUUCAAGUUACAAGUUUUCCUUCUACACUCGGGGGCUGAAAAUUUUAAGUUUUCGAUCAUUGCUUAAAUGGUAAAAACCUAAAAGGGUAACACUGUCCAAAAUCUUUGUUUACAGUUUCCUCCAAUGGUAGGCAUUUAUAUUGGUCAUAAUUUUGAUGUUUUGUGAAGAAAGAAUAAUAAGCUCCAAAAUGUAACACAGACUUCAAUACAAGCCCCCUUUGUAUUCAAUUUAAAAAAACAAUUAUAAUUACCCUAUAGCCCCGAAGUGGGUCCCUUUAAAUGGACAAAUAAGAAAUAACAUAACAUAAACCCUUAAUAAAAACCUUUUAAAAAAAAUUAACAAAUAAUAAUAUUAUUAUUAUUAUUGUUAUAACUUUGGCAAUUUUCCCCAACUCGCUAUCUUUAUAUGCACACAAAUCUCUAACCCAAAUUCAAACCCAAAAUUGUCUCUUGCCUCUCUCUUUCUCUUUCUCUUUCUCUUUCCUUUUUCUCUUCUGGGUCUCUUCUGUUUUCUGUUGUCUAAUUACAAAUUCAAUUCAAUUAAUUCAAACAGAUAAUGAAAAGCAAAACACGUUAAAAAAGAAGCCCUUUUUUCCCCCC